rnacentral:lncRNA from 1 species
AGGGUCCCUGCCCCGCUGUGGCUCAUCCCACCUCUCUGCCCAUGCAGGACAUCGUGGGUUCCCACCCUCCCAACCACGUCCUGGCAGCCCUGGAGCACCUGGCCCUGGAGAACACCCUGCAGAUGCAAGAGCUCACCAGCCGCAUUGACAUUCCCCGCGACGUAGAGGCGCUCAAGAAGGCUGGAGCAGGUGUGAGGAGCUGUGGGUGCAACGGCUCCCCCUACAGGCCCGGGAGCAGCGCGGCACGGCCCAGCUGGCCUCCCUCCUGCAGGAGAUGCACCGGCUGCUGGCGGACGGCUCGGAGCGCGCCAUCCUCGCCAGGUAGCUGCCCCAGCCCCUGGGAGACACCCCACCCCCUGGGCUCACCCCUGCACAGUUG